AGACCCGAAACCCGGUGAUCUAGCCAUGGGCAGGUUGAAGGUUGGGUAACACUAACUGGAGGACCGAACCGACUAAUGUUGAAAAAUUAGCGGAUGACCUGUGGCUGGGGGUGAAAGGCCAAUCAAACCGGGAGAUAGCUGGUUCUCCCCGAAAGCUAUUUAGGUAGCGCCUCGUGAAUUCAUCUCCGGGGGUAGAGCACUGUUUCGGCUAGGGGGCCAUCCCGGCUUACCAACCCGAUGCAAACUGCGAAUACCGGAGAAUGUUAUCACGGGAGACACACGGCGGGUGCUAACGUCCGUCGUGAAGAGGGAAACAACCCAGACCGCCAGCUAAG
rnacentral:rRNA from 1 species